rnacentral:rRNA from 1 species
UUGCCUACGGGACGCAGCAGUGAGGAAUAUUGGUCAAUGGGCGGGAGCCUGAACCAGCCAAGUCGCGUGAGGGAAGACGGUCCUAUGGAUUGUAAACCUCUUUAGGCGGGGAGCAAUGCCGGGCACGCGUGCCCGGAGGGAGAGUACCCGCAGAAUAAGCAUCGGCUAACUCCGUGCCAGCAGCCGCGGUAAUACGGAGGAUCCGAGCGUUAUCCGGAUUUAUUGGGUUUAAAGGGAGCGUAGGUGGAUUGUUAAGUCAGUUGUGAAAGUUUGCGGCUCAACCGUAAAAUUGCAGUUGAAACUGG